rnacentral:lncRNA from 1 species
GGAUGGGGUCGCAGACGCUGCAGAUCCUCCGGCAGGGGGUGUGGGCCACGCUCAGCGGGGGCUGGUAUUACGACCCGCACCAGGCCACCUUCGUGAACGCGCUGCACCUCUACCUGUGGCUCUUUCUGCUUGGCCUGCCCUUCACCCUCUACAUGGCCCUUCCUUCUUCCAUGAUUAUAGUAGCAGUUUAUUGUCCUGUGGUAGCUGCUGUUUUCAUUGUUCUGAAGAUGGUCAACUAUCGACUACACAGAGCACUUGAUGCUGGAGAAGUCGUAGAUAGGAGCACAAAUGAAUUUACAGAUCAGCGAGCCAAAGCUGAACAAGGCAACUGUUCAACCAGGAGAAAAGACAGCAAUGGACCAAGUCCUUGCACUUGUGCAGCAGGAGGCGAAACCACUGAGCUAAAUUCCCGGCCCCAACUAAUGUAAUUCUUAAAACAAGUUCUGGUGUGAACAUUUGACAUAGGCAAGUUUAUUUGGUCUUCAGAACAAUUCUGUGAGAUAGGUGUUAUUAUUAUUCCUGAUUUACAAUUGUGGAAACCAAAGUGAGAUCAAAUAAUCCAAGCACUCAGAUAUAUGCUUUUAGCACCUGUGCUAUGUUUCCACUCACAUAGAACAAACUCCUUCAGAUAUUAAGGUAUAAAUGCUGUAACGCA